UACGUAGGUGGCGAGCGUUGUCCGGAUUUACUGGGCGUAAAGGGCGUGCAGGCGGUUUGUUAAGUGCAGGGUGAAAGCUCCCGGCUCAACUGGGAGAGGUCCUUGCAUACUGGCGAACUCGAGGGAGGCAGAGGAAAGUGGAAUCCCCGGUGUAGUGGUGAUAUGCGUAGAUAUCGGGAGGAACACCUGUGGCGAAGGCGGCUUUCUGGGCCUUACCUGACGCUGAGACGCGAAAGCGUGGGGAGCGAACCGG
rnacentral:rRNA from 1 species